CCCCUAAAUGUUCUGGGCCGCACGCGCGCUACACUGAACAGUUCAACAAGUCUUAACCUUGGCCGAUAGGUCUGGGUAAUCUUUGAACGCUGUUCGUGAUUGGGAUAGACCUUUGCAAUUAUGGGUCUUCAACGAGGAAUUCCUAGUAAACGCAAGUCAUCAGCUUGCAUUGAUUACGUCCCUGCCCUUUGUACACACCGCCCGUCGCACCUACCGAUUGAAUGGUCCGGUGAAAUCUCGGGACGGCGGCUUGGUCGCUUGCGUCCGACUGCUGAAACUUGAUUAAACCAUAUCAUUUAGAGGAAGGUGAANUCGUANCA
rnacentral:rRNA from 1 species